CGAAGACCAGUGCACGCCCUCUGGCGGUCGCACGAGACAGUCCGCUCCGCAGCCAGACGGGGAGCGUGCGGGCUAAAAUGGAGUUUAUCACUAUCACUUCCCCUCUGUGAUUGUUGAACUAAUCCAGAGUGGAAAAAAAAGAAAUUAUAAGACCACUGAUGAGACGGGACCAUGAAACAGCGACUCACCCUUCCCUAAGGAAACUGAGACUCAUCAAGGUCAAGUAACUUUUCUAGGCACAUAUAAUAAAGGAUGGAAACCAGGUCAAUCUGGAACAAAAGCCCAAGUGUUAAUUAUUCUGCAGUUAUCAGAACAGUCUUUCAAGAGCUCCAAGCCAGUCCCCUUGGGGACCAGUCCUUCUCUCUCCAUCAGUGGUGGUCAAUCUGCAUUGAAAAAGGAAGUGAGCAGUUUUGGCUAGCAGCAAGACUGACCUGGUGCCUGCUCUUUGCUGGAUUCCUGCAGAUCCCCUUACUAAUUACAUAGCCUGAGGUAAUUGACUCUGGUAGUUCUCAUCUAUAAAAAUGGAACAACAUUACCAAUCUUGUAUGGUUGCUGGGGAAAUGAAAUACUGUAUCUAAAGUGCUUAGUUUUAUGCAGACACAUAAUAGCUUCAUGAAAUAUGAAUCCUCUUCUCCUUUUUCCUAUCAUCACUGCACCCUGUGGUAUAUCUCUCUUCAAAGUUAGCAACUGGUGUAGAUUUUUGAGCACCAUGCUGAUAUCUAGGCU
rnacentral:lncRNA from 1 species